rnacentral:misc_RNA from 1 species
UCCGGUUUGACACCGGCAGUCUCCCUAGAGUGCCCGGCAUAACCCGCUGGUAACUAGGGACGAGGGUUGCGCUCGUUGCGGGACUUAACCCAACAUCUCACGACACGAGCUGACGACAGCCAUGCAGCACCUGUGUCCACGCCCCUUGCGGGGAGGAAUCCAUCUCUGGAAGCCGUCGUGGCAUGUCAAGGGCUGGUAAGGUUCUUCGCGUUGCGUCGAAUUAAACCACAUGCUCCGCUGCUUGUGCGGGUCCCCGUCAAUUCCUUUGAGUUUUAGCCUUGCGGCCGUACUCCCCAGGCGGGGCACUUAAUGCGUUAGCUACGGCACAGAGAACGUGGAAUGUCCCCCACACCUAGUGCCCACCGUUUACGGCGUGGACUAC